rnacentral:rRNA from 1 species
GACGAACGCUGGCGGCGUGCUUAACACAUGCAAGUCGAACGGAAAGGCCCUGCUUUUGUGGGGUGCUCGAGUGGCGAACGGGGGAGUAACACGUGAGUAACCUGCCCUUGACUUUGGGAUAACUUCAGGCAACUGGGGCUAAUACCGGAUAGGAGCUCCUGCUGCAUGGUGGGGGUUGGAAAGUUUCGGCGGUUGGGGAUGGACUCGCGGCUUAUCAGCUUGUUGGUGGGGUAGUGGCUUACCAAGGCUUUGACGGGUAGCCGGCCUGGGAGGGUGACCGGCCACAUUGGGACUGAGAUACGGCCCAGACUCCUACGGGAGGCAGCAGUGGGGAAUAUUGCACAAUGGGCUGGAGCCUGAUGCAGCAACGCCGCGUGCGGGAUGACGGCCUUCGGGUUGUAAACCGCUUUCGCCUGUGACGAAGCGUGAGUGACGGUAAUGGGUAAAGAAGCACCGGCUAACUACGUG